rnacentral:lncRNA from 1 species
AUUGGAUAUGAGAUCAGAAAGCUUUUACAAUUGAAAUCAAUUACUCGGUUAUUACAGCAUUAAACACCAUUUGAUGAUCUUUUCUGAUCACGAACAGCCACUUAUUGGAAUUUCUGACAAUUUCCACCCAUGCUGCCCUGUGCCAGCAGACGGUCCCUGGGACGAGUCCAGCACCACAGACACACCACCGUGGGCCUCCGAGGGCCGUAUGACCCGCAAUGCCGCGCGC